rnacentral:tRNA from 1 species
AAAAAGAUAAGCUAAUUUUAAGCUAAUGGGCUCAUACCCCGUAAAUGAAAAUGUAAUUUCUCUUUUUA